UACGAAGGGUGCAAACGUUGCUCGGAAUCAUUGGGCGUAAAGCGCACGCAGGCGGCCUUGCAAGUCGGAUGUGAAAUCCCACGGCUCAACCGUGGACGUGCAUCCGAAACUGCUCGGCUCGAGUAUGGAAGAGGGUCGCGGAAUUCCCGGUGUAGAGGUGAAAUUCGUAGAUAUCGGGAGGAACACCAGUGGCGAAGGCGGCGACCUGGGCCAAUACUGACGCUGAGGUGCGAAAGCGUGGGGAGCAAACAGG
rnacentral:rRNA from 1 species